GAGACACAAGAAUUGCUUGAACCUGGGAGGCGGAGGCUGCAGUGAGCUGAGAUCAUGCUGCCGCACUCCAGCCUGGGGAACAGAGAUUCUGUCUCAAAAAAAAAAGAAAAAGAGAAAAGAAAUACAGUUGACCCUUGAACAACACGGGUUUGAAAUGCACAAGUCUACUUAUACAUGGGAUUUUUUCAACCAAAGGUGGAUUGAAAAUACAGUAUUCAAGGGAUGCAAAAUCUGCAUAUGUGGAGAGUCAACUUUUUGUAUGUGCAGGUUCCGCAGGGCUGAGUGCAGGACUUAUGUGUGGAUUUUGGCAUAUGGAAGGGGCCCUGGAGCCAAUCCCACAUGUAUACCAAGGGACGACUGUACAAAGUAAGAUUUGCAAGCAAGAAAGGGAACUGUCAGGAGCUGAACAUAAAGGAGGAACUGAAAACCUGAGUGGUCAGCGUGUGAACUGGCUAUGUCUUCUAGGGACCAGGAGAAGAACCAUGAUCACCGUAGGGCUUUGUG
rnacentral:lncRNA from 1 species